AGCCCUCUCUGAUGAUAUAAAAAGAGCCUCUGGGCUCCGAAAACAUUUGUUCAAUGUAUCGGAAAACAUAGUCCCACCUGUGUAUGAAAAUUUGAAUUAAAUAAGUGUCCUUAAUUUUUAUGAAAGUGAGUGCAUUAAACUUCCAUUGUCUGUCCUUUAAAAAAAACGAGGAAAGCUGCGUUUUGCCUCUCAGCCUGUUGGGUAGGCAACCCAAUCGACGCUCACGCAGCGCGUGAGUCGCAAAAGUGCAGUUUGUAGUUGGUCAGUUGGUCGCUAGAUGGCGUCAAGCGCUCGAAAAGAACUGGGGCUGUCAUCGGGCUGGCGGCGGACGGCUUAGCUGGAGUCAGCAUUUCAACAGGGCCUCGGGUGAGUAGAGGGGGAACGGGGUGGUGCUUCAAAAUGCGGAGCAAGCGGUGUCGGACAGUCAGUUUGCUACUGAAGUUCAGCAUAGAAGCGUGUGUUAGUGUUAGUUGUGUGAAGAAAAAAUGAACUCAGAAGGUCAGCGUUGUGACGAGGUCGUUGCGAAGAGACCUCGAGUGUUAGAAAUAAUAGAUUUGUGCAAUGCCUCGAAGAACAUCCCUACACCUAGAGUGUACAAGAUUCCGCGACGCAGGCUGUUCCCAUCAGCCAUCCCAGCGCCGCCUGCAGCAGAAUCCUCAUGGAAGAAGCGGCGCUGAACGACACCGCGACGGCAACCGGCGCCACGGCGGGGAACGCCAGCAGCGCCCCCGCCGACCUCCGGGACUCCGCACAGCGCCGCGGCGGGACCAGGACGACCGGCGGACCUACGCCGACGUGGAGCGGCGACGCUCCCCACGGGAGGAACCCCGGCGGUCCAGAUCACCACGCUUCUCCCCAGUCCAGGUGACGGCCACGAACCAGCGGGAAGCUGCCUGGUCUCCGGAUCCGUGGGACGACAUCCUCGCGUCGUCUCCGGAGCGCGCACCGCGCACCGGUGGCCCCAGCCAGGGCUCCGGCCAGGACUCCAGCCAGGGCUCCGGACCGGAGCCGUCGGAACCAUCCACUACACUACAAACCUAACUGUCUACUAAGUACACACUUACAAACGCACGCUUGCAAGUACACACUUACAAACGCAUGCUUGGCCAAGUACACACUUACAAACGCAUGCUUGCAAGUACACACUAACAAACGCAUGCUUGACGCCGUAUAACUCCAUGCGUCAAGCAUGCGUUUGUUAGUGGUCGCGGGGCCCGGAAGGCGGCCGAUGCAACAGUAUAACUGUUCAUUGAAUACUAGUUUCACGACUUGCUGUACCGAUGCUUGGAAUCGGGACACACUGGUUAAUACGAGUAGGUUUCGCACAGCACUUUGAAGGCAAAUAUGAAAACUUAUUUGCCAGUCCUAAAAGUCCGUACUCGUGUCCCGUGUCCCGUCUCACAAUUAUCCCGUCUUCCGUCGUGAACUCGACUCGCCAGCUCAUGUUGCUGUAUAUAGUCGCUAUCACUUUCGAGCAUAUGCAGCCAUUCGUCACUUCACUUGGUGGGCAUAGGGCUCGAGGAGCCCACCGGAUAAUAAGAACGUCGUCCCACCAAUAAAUUUUUUCAAUAGCCAAGUCUCGGCCGCACAAUAUCGAAAAAAAAAAAAAAAAACAGAGUACACCCAGUUAAUAAAGUCUCUAAACCUCUUCUGUCUAAUUCUCCUCGCCCUGUCGGCCCUAAGGUGUUCAACGUAUUCCUCAUGAACACGCAGCACCUGCUCGAACCCGGACGGAGGUUUGAACGGAGACGUUUUGCGAUGUUUUUAAUUGCACGCUCUUUUAGCUGUACGUCGUAAGUCUAGCGGUUUUAUGCUUGCUACAACUUGCAGCGUUUUGACCUGAGUUGUAUUGUAUGCCCUUAGUAGUCGUCUCAGGACUUUUUUUGCGAGAUUUGAAGACUGGUUUUCAUAACUUUGAUGUCUAACCUCUCAAGGAAGACAGAUGACGAGUAUGCAGUUCGAGCAACGUAGACUGCCUCGUAAUACGUAAACAGCCUCUCAUGGUCCACUUGGUAGUUUCGUCUCGCCAUACUCUACAAGUCGUGUAGCGUACAUUGUGUGCUCCAACUGGAGCAUGCCUGCAAGCACGCUCUAGCUAGCGCAUGCCUGCCAAGCAUGCACUUACUAGUGCAUACAUGCCAUGUACACGCUUCCUGAUACAGGCAACUCCCUAUCCCUUAUGCACUAGAUGCAUGCUUCAGUUAGCGUGUACAUGGCAUGUAUGCACAGUGCAUGCAUACCAGGCAUGCGCUAGAUAGCUAUCACGUGGGGGUUGGUCGGGUCGGCGAGGUCAAUCCAGUUGCUGGCGUCGUGUCGAUGCUCGGGCCCGCUUUCUUGCUAUGGGUCAUGAAGGCCUCCCAUGAAAUGUGCAGGUUGUGCCUGCCAAAAGACGUGUCCAUACGACUCUUAUCAAUUUGAGCUGAGUCAACCCAAGCCUCAUUCUUGAAAGGAUUGUCUUUGAAGUUAUCAGCCUCGGAGCCGUAGAAAGUUCCACGGCAGCCGAUUCUCACCAUUUUAUGGGCGAUCCAAUUUUUUAUCUCAAUCCUAUCGGGAUGACAGUAAGUUGUAUUUUGCUCUUCGUGAGUCAAUCCCGGGAUAAAGCCCCAAUCAAUUUUGUACCUUUUAUAGCACCUCCUUACCUCCACAUAGACUGUUACGGGGUCCUCCAGGUGGUGCACUGUCGCUGUAUAGCUGAGGGGGCGUUCCAUCCUAAUGUUCGCCGGGUGAAGGUCAGCGAGUCAGUACACCGUUUUGUCUGCUGCAGUCGUCGUGGAGGCGGGGACGGCGCCCAGGCUGGCCGCGACGGCCAGGAGUAAGGUAGCCACUCUAGCCGUCAUGUUGGUAGCACUGCGCUCGGGGCGGAACUGCAGGCUUCAGGUGUCGUAAGCAACUCCACACUUCGCCACGGGUGUAAUGUUUUGGUUCGGAAAGGUUCAAAAUCCAUUCAUGGUUCGAUGGCCCACACCGCGAACCAGCGGGAAGCUGCCUGGUCUCCGGAUCCGUGGGACGACAUCCUCGCGUCGUCUCCGGAGCGCGCACCGCGCACCGGUGGCCCCAGCCAGGGCUCCGGACCGGAGCCGUCGGAACCAUCCACUACACUACAAACCUAACUGUCUACUAAGUACACACUUACAAACGCACGCUUGCAAGUACACACUUACAAACGCAUGCUUGGCCAAGUACACACUUACAAACGCAUGCUUGC